UUCAUACUUCCUCCGUCCCAAAUUACUUGUCCUAGAAAUUGAUAGAAAUGGAUGUAUCUAGAAUUAAAAAUACGUCUAGAUACAUUCAUUUCUAUGACAAGUAAUUCUAGAUGGAGGGAGUAUUAG
rfam:Triticum urartu cultivar G1812 contig277986, whole genome shotgun sequence.